UACGGAGGGUGCAAUCGUUGUUCGGAAUCACUGGGCGUAAAGGGCGCGUAGGCGGCUCGGUAAGUCGGGUGUGAAAGCCCCGGGCUCAACCCGGGAAGUGCAUUCGAAACUGCCGGACUUGAGUACGGGAGAGGGAAGUGGAAUUCCUCGUGUAGGGGUGAAAUCCGUAGAUAUCAGGAGGAACACCGGUGGCGAAGGCGACUUCCUGGGCCGAUACUGACGCUGAGGCACGAAAGCGUGGGGAGCAAACAGG
rnacentral:rRNA from 1 species